CCCUUUCUGACGAACCAUGAUGUCAUUUAUUUGGUGUUGUGGGGAAUCAGGACUGUUACUUUGAAAAAAUUAGAGCGUUUAAAGCAGGCUCACGCUUGAAUACAUUAGCAUGGAAUAAUGAAAUAGGACGUUUGAUUCUAUUUUGUUGGUUUCUAGGAUCGACGUAAUGAUUAAUAGGGAUAGUUGGGGGCAUUAGUAUUCAAUUGUCAGAGGUGAAAUUCUUGGAUUUAUUGAAGACUAACUACUGCGAAAGCAUUUGCCAAGGAUGUUUUCAUUAAUCAAGAACGAAAGUUAGGGGAUCGAAGACGAUCAGAUACCGUCGUAGUCUUAACCAUAAACUAUGCCGACUAGGGAUCGGAUGAUGUUAAUUUUUUAAUGACUCAUUCGGCGCCUUACG
rnacentral:rRNA from 1 species